rnacentral:rRNA from 1 species
CAGCCGUAAACUAUGCGCGUUAGGUGUACUGGUGACCACGAGUCACCGGGGUGCCGAAGGGAAACCGUGAAACGUGCCGCCUGGGAAGUACGGUCGCAAGGCUGAAACUUAAAGGAAUUGGUGGGGGAGCACCACAACGGGUGGAGCCUGCGGUUUAAUUGGACUCAACGCCGGAAAUCUCACCGGAUAGGACAGACAUAUGAUAGUCGGGCUGAAGACUCUACUUGAUGAUCUGAGAGGAGGUGCAUGGCGUAGACGUCU